GAUGAACGCUAGCGAUAGGCUUAACACAUGCAAGUCGAGGGGCAGCAUGGUCUUAGCUUGCUAAGACUGAUGGCGACCGGCGCACGGGUGCGUAACGCGUAUGCAACUUGCCUCACAGAGGGGGAUAACCCGUCGAAAGACGGACUAAUACCGCGUACACUCCAUCUUGGGCAUCCAAGGAGGAGGAAAUGAAUUUCGCUGUGAGAUAGGCAUGCGUCCCAUUAGCUAGUUGGUGAGGUAACGGCUCACCAAGGCGACGAUGGGUAGGGGAACUGAGAGGUUGAACCCCCACACUGGUACUGAGACACGGACCAGACUCCUACGGGAGGCAGCAGUGAGGAAUAUUGGUCAAUGGGCGAGAGCCUGAACCAGCCAAGUCGCGUGAAGGAUGACUGUCUUAUGGAUUGUAAACUUCUUUUAUACGGGAAUAACAAGAGUCACGUGUGACUCCCUGCAUGUACCGUAUGAAUAAGCAUCGGCUAACUCCGUGCCAGCAGCCGCGGUAAUACGGAGGAUGCGAGCGUUAUCCGGAUUUAUUGGGUUUAAAGGGUGCGUAGGCGGCCUGUUAAGUCAGCGGUGAAAUCUAGGAGCUUAACUCCUAAAUUGCCAUUGAAACUGGCGGGCUUGAGUGUAGAUGAGGUAGGCGGAAUGCGUGGUGUAGCGGUGGAAUGCAUAGAUAUCACGCAGAACUCCAAUUGCGAAGGCAGCUUACUAAGGUACAACUGACGCUGAAGCACGAAAGCGUGGGUAUCAAACAGGAUUAGAUACCCUGGUAGUCCACGCAGUAAACGAUGAUAACUGGGCGUAUGCGAUAUACAGUAUGCUCCUAAGCGAAAGCGUUAAGUUAUCCACCUGGGGAGUACGCCGGCA
rnacentral:rRNA from 1 species